rnacentral:sRNA from 1 species
CAGAUUAACAUUUUAUUCAAAUUUAAUUAUGUCUAAUUGUGGCUUAGAGUUUAUGCAAUAAAUUCAGGCAUUUGCCUCUGAGUAAAUAGAUUUGAAGAUAAACAUUUGGCUUGUUUCCUAUUUAAAAGGUAAAAUUAUACCUAGAAAGGGGAUUGUUAUUAAACAUUCUUUUAGCAUUCCUUUCAAGUCUUCCCCUCUCGUCUUCCAUGGCCUGUGUUCUUUCUUUUAUUCCUUUUAAGUAGAGUAUUUGUUUUACUGUUGUUGGCGUUCACUGCUCUGUGAAGCUGUAACUUAAUCACUGUGACUGACUUCCACAUAUCAGGUAACACCGGGGACUGAUUGUCAAACAACGCAGUGUCAGAUAAAGUUUGUUUUAGGGCUGACCAAUUUGUGCACGUUUGUUUUGGCAACUGACGAGGUUUAAAAUCAGCGAGACAAGACGAAAUUUCAAAAUCCGACCUCUAGACUGGAAGUCCUCUAGGAGUUUGUAUCUCGCACCAGUUAAAAGGUAGGAGUCACACAUAUUCUGUGAUGUAGAAGAACAUGUGCUCCAUUCUGGCUGCAAGACACUGUGUCAUGGGAUUCACAUCUAGGUAUGAAGACUUGAACUGAAACCCUGUGUCUUAAAUCUGUGAGAUCUUAAAACACAGCUAACCCCUGGUACCUGCAAGUGCUUCCUACGAGAAAUGGAGAGACGAGGAAGAAGUUUCCAAGUUAGAAGAACAUGGUUAAAUGCACUCAAAGACGGUGGGUGGCUAGAUUCAAGCCAGCAUCUCCUAACUUUUCCCGUGAUGCUCGGCUCGCAGAGAAGCAGCCAUCUUGCUUAUUGACCUUUGUUUACGUGGUCUGUUAUUGCUUUACCUUUUGUAAAUCUGAAAGGUGGUAAGUUUUAAAUUUUUCCUUUGGAGAAGUUGUAUUGUGAGGAGGAGGCAUGGUAAAAGACGAUAAAUUAUGUUGACUGACCUUCCUGAUAAAUGAACUCAGUAUUGAUAACUAACCACCGAGUCCUAUGCUUUCUUUUGGAGCCUCUCUGAUAUAUGAGUCCCAAGGAGCCUGACAGCUGUCCAUUUCAAAGGUGAGGAAGGGUCUGAGUCAGGAAGCUUAGGACACUUUGACUCAUCCUGGCUUCAUCCAAUCCUCUUGAAUUUGUUUUGUUCUUCCCAAAGUAGAAAGUAGUUUGAAAGCACAGCAUAUAACGCACUCUAACUCCUUUAGAAAAUGGUAGUCCUGCUGUCAGAGUCCUUAUAUUUUUAUGUAAUUCUUCUGAGAUGACUAUUUUAUUCAUAAUAUUUCCCACAGCUCUGUUAAGCUAACUCGAUUUGUGCUUUCUUUAUCUUCCCAUUUACCACAAAAUCUCCUUCCUUCUCUUCAGUCCUCUCUGUCCUCUUUAUCUCACAGGUUUGUUUUCAGUGCUAUGGUGACAGUGAUGUAUACAACUUGGGAAAGAUCGAGUGUCACUUCUCCGUUUCUAACUCCCAGUGCCUUUCAGUCCGAGGUGGCACAAGUCUCUGCUCUUACCACUGUGACUUUGAUAUUGACAUCUGGGAUUGGUUUAGGAGUCCUCAACUGCUUACUACACGACAGCUUGAGAGCCUGGUUCUACACAGAACUGUUAGAUUAAAAGCCUUUAAUUGUGUUGCUUAAAUACACACUCCCUUUGAAUAGCAUAUUUAUUUUCAGGAAUAAAUAAGAGAAAAUCUAUUUAAACAUUGGGGAUUUAUCAAUGUUUCCCUGUUAUUUUGUUACGUUUUGCUCUAGUGAAUCUGAGGAGAUACUUCAUCUACGUUUAUUCUUAUGAUUGCGAUGACGUCUUGCAGUACCGCCUCUUUUACCGUUUAACAGAAUCAUGUAACCACCCAGUCAAUGGCCUUGUUUCUUUAUCUGUCUAAAUCAAAUAUUAUUUUGGUCAAUAUUUGUUUGGACUUAUUUAUCAUCAUUUUACCCUAACAUUUCAGUCAGUGCAUUGCACACCUGCCUUUGAUAAUGUAUCAAUAUUGAAGGCAGUCCAACCUAAGAAUCUGUUUGAAUAAGUUUAAUUUUUAUAUGCAAUUGCUAAUGUAUUAGAUUAUUAUUCUUUUACCUUUUCACUUUUUGCUGUUUUCUUUCUCUGUGUUAAUAUUUCCUAUGUUAUGAAUGCAACUUUGAAAUUCUGUAGGUUCUACCUUAGUCUUCUGACUACAAUGGACUGUGGAUUAGAGGUACCAUGCCCCAUAGUACUUACCUAUUCCUAAGGGGCAGAAGCCAGGCAUGGCCAAAGAUGUGAAGGCAGAACUUUCCUCACUAAGAGAAGGGGAACACACCCAACCUCACACCCAGUACCAACCCACCCAGGCACAUCAAGUCUUAUCAGGACUAAAUGCAUCCUCUCUCACUGAUGUCUGACAAAGCAACCCAGCUAUGGAAAAGGGAUCCAAAGGCACCCGAGUCUGAGUCAGAGACA